AGCACCGUAGCACAGCUGGGAGUGCGCCGGUCUCAUAUCAUGUCCACUGGAUACCGCUUGAGCAAUCCGGAGCCCGCUUGAUCGAAACAAGCCGUUGCUA